rnacentral:rRNA from 1 species
UAAAAAGGCUAGGAGUUUGAUCCUGGCUCAGGAUGAACGCUCUUAAUGGCUUAACACAUGCAAGUCGAACGGCACCUAUCUUCGGAUAGAAGCGAGUGGCGAACGGCUGAGUAACACGUGGAGAACCUGCCCCCUCCCCCGGGAUAGCCGCCCGAAAGGACGGGUAAUACCGGAUACCCCGGGGUGCCGCAUGGCGCCCCGGCUAAAGCCCCGACGGGAGGGGAUGGCUCCGCGGCCCAUCAGGUAGACGGCGGGGUGACGGCCCACCGUGCCGACAACGGGUAGCCGGGUUGAGAGACCGACCGGCCAGAUUGGGACUGAGACACGGCCCAGACUCCUACGGGAGGCAGCAGUGGGGAAUCUUGCGCAAUGGGGGGAACCCUGACGCAGCGACGCCGCGUGCGGGACGGAGGCCUUCGGGUCGUAAACCGCUUUCAGCAGGGAAGAGUCAAGACUGUACCUGCAGAAGAAGCCCCGGCUAACUACGUGCCAGCAGCCGCGGUAAUACGUAGGGGGCGAGCGUUAUCCGGAUUCAUUGGGCGUAAAGCGCGCGUAGGCGGCCCGGCAGGCCGGGGGUCGAAGCGGGGGGCUCAACCCCCCGAAGCCCCCGGAACCUCCGCGGCUUGGGUCCGGUAGGGGAGGGUGGAACACCCGGUGUAGCGGUGGAAUGCGCAGAUAUCGGGUGGAACACCGGUGGCGAAGGCGGCCCUCUGGGCCGAGACCGACGCUGAGGCGCGAAAGCUGGGGGAGCGAACAGGAUUASAUACCCUGGUAGUCCCAGCCGUAAACGAUGGACGCUAGGUGUGGGGGGACGAUCCCCCCGUGCCGCAGCCAACGC